rnacentral:tRNA from 1 species
CCGGGGGGUGGCCCGAGGAGGCGUCCGGGGGGUGGCCGAGGGGGGCGUCCUGGGGGUGUCCCCACCCCGUUCCACCGGGCUCCCGGA